UAAUACAUGCAAGUCGAACGAAGUAGCAAUACUUAGUGGCAGACGGGUGAGUAACAUGUGGGUAUCUUCCCUUUGGUGAGGAAUAACACGAGGAAACUUGUGCUAAUACCUCAUAAGUCUUUACGGAGAAAGCUUUAUGCGCCAUUGGAUGAGCCCGCACUUGAUUAGUUUGUUGGUGGGGUAAUGGCCUACCAAGACUGUGAUCAAUAGCUGAUUUGAGAGGAUGAUCAGCCACAUUGGGACUGAGACACGGCCCAAACUCCUACGGGAGGCAGCAGUAGGGAAUCUUGCACAAUGGAGGAAACUCUGAUGCAGCGAUGCCGCGUGAGUGAAGAAGGCCUUUGGGUUGUAAAGCUCUUUCGUCGGGGAAGAAAAUGACUGUACCCGAAUAAGAAGGUCCGGCUAACUUCGUGCCAGCAGCCGCGGUAAUACGAAGGGACCUAGCGUAGUUCGGAAUUACUGGGCUUAAAGAGUUCGUAGGUGGUUAAAAUAGUUGGUGGUGAAAUCCCAGAGCUUAACUCUGGAACUGCCAUCAAAACUUUUUAGCUAGAGUAUGAUAGAGGAAAGCAGAAUUUCUAGUGUAGAGGUGAAAUUCGUAGAUAUUAGAAAGAAUACCGAUUGCAAAGGCAGCUUUCUGGAUCAUUACUGACACUGAGGAACGAAAGCAUGGGUAGCGAAGAGGAUUAGAUACCCUCGUAGUCCAUGCCGUAAACGAUGUGUGUUAGACGUUGGAAAUUUAUUUUCAGUGUCGCAGCGAAAGCGAUAAACACACCGCCUGGGGAGUACGACCGCAAGGUUAAAACUCAAAUGAAUUGACGGGGACCCGCACAAGUAGUGGAGCAUGUGGUUUAAUUCGAAGAUACGCGCAGAACCUUACCAACACUUGACAUGUUCGUCGCGACUCUAAGAGAUUAGAGUUUUCGGUUCGGCCGGACGAAACACAGGUGCUGCAUGGCUGUCGUCAGCUCGUGUCGUGAGAUGUUGGGGUUAAGUCCCGCAACGAGCGCAACCCUCACUUUUAGUUGCCAUCAUUAAGUUGGGGCACUCUGAAAGAACUGCCAGUGAUAAGCUGGAGGAAGGUGGGGAUGACGUCAAGUCCUCAUGGCCCUUACGUGUUGGGCUACACACGUGCUACAAUGGCAUCUACAACAGGAAGCAAAACGGCAACGUUAAGCAAAUCCCGAAAAGAUGCCUCAGUUCGGAUUGCGCUCUGCAACUCGAGUGCAUGAAGCUGGAAUUACUAGUAAUCGCGGAUCAGCGCGCCGCGGUGAAUACGUUCCCGGGUCUUGUACACACCGCCCGUCACACCAUGGGAGUUGGUUCUACCUUAAGGCAAAGUUUAAAACCUUUGACCACGGUAUAGUCAGCGACUGGGGUG
rnacentral:rRNA from 1 species